rnacentral:rRNA from 1 species
UAGUCCACGCCGUAAACGAUGUCAACUAGCCGUUGGCCCCAUCUAGGGGUUAGUGGCGCAGCUAACGCGAUAAGUUGACCGCCUGGGGAGUACGCCGGCAACGGUAAAACUCUAAGGAAUUGACGGGGGCCCGCACAAGCGGUGGAGCAUGUGGUUUAAUUCGAUGAUACGCGAGGAACCUUACCAGGGCUUAAAUGUAAGUUGCAUUAGCUAGAGAUAGUUAUUUCUUCGGACUACUUACAAGGUGCUGCAUGGUUGUCGUCAGCUCGUGCCGUGAGGUGUCAGGUUAAGUCCUAUAACGAGCGCAACCCCUAUUGUUAGUUGCCAGCAAGUAAUGUUGGGGACUCUAGCAAGACUGCCGGCGUAAGCCGCGAGGAAGGUGGGGACGACGUCAAAUCAUCAUGGCCUUUAUGCCUAGGGCGACACACGUGCUACAAUGGUGCAUACAGAGGGUUGCGAAGCCGCGAGGUGGAGCUAAUCUCAGAAAGUGCAUCUCAGUUCGGAUUGG